AAUUUAGUAGCGAAGUAGCUGAUUUCACACUGUCAAGAAAAGUCUCUAUCGAGGUUAAAGGUACCCGUACCGCAAACCGACACAGGUGGGUGAGGAGAGUAUCCUAAGGCCAGCGAGAGAACUGUUGUUAAGGAACUCGGCAAAAUGACCCCGUAACUUAGGGAUAAGGGGUGCCACCAUCAGGUGGCCGCAGAGAAUAGGCCCAAGCGACUGUUUACCAAAAACAUAGGUUUCUGCUAAGUCGCAAGACGAUGUAUAGGAGCUGACGCCUGCCCGGUGCUGGAAGGUUAAGGGGAUCUGUUAGAGCAAUCGAAGCAGUGAACUUAAGCCCCAGUAAACGGCGGCCGUAACUAUAACGGUCCUAAGGUAGCGAAAUUCCUUGUCGGGUAAGUUCCGACCCGCACGAAAGGCGUAACGAUUUGGGCACUGUCUCAACAACAGACUCGGUGAAAUUGUAAUUCCGGUGAAGAUGCCGGAUACCUGCGACAGGACGGAAAGACCCCAUGGAGCUU
rnacentral:rRNA from 1 species